CAUUGAUCUAUCAAUACCUACCCACCCCGGCUCUUAGUGUCGACCCCAAUUCGGUUAUGGUAAGUGCCUCUUCAUUGAGACACUUGCGCACUCUGUUUAUGAUCAACACGGAUGCCAAACCAUUGAAAUGUCGGCCCUUAUUGGAGGUUGGAAACGACCUUUGACGAGGUGUAGUUGUGGAGUAUGUAUGUGGACCCUAGUGCGGCCCUAAAAAGUACGUACGCAGUACACAUACAGAAACAUCGCUACAGGUUCUGUUUUCUUUUUGGCCCUUAACCGGAUCACCAUUAAGAUUAUGGGGUUGCCUUUUUUAACUAACUAACCUUUAAAACUAUUUAUCUAAAGUAUCUGUGCAUCGGGUCUUACCUCGUGCACAACCCCAAUCAAGACAACUCUCAACAACGGAUAUCUUGGCUCUCGCAACGAUGAAGAACGCAGCGAACUGCGAUACGUAAUGUGAAUUGCAGAAUUCCGUGAAUCAUCGAAUCUUUGAACGCAUAUUGCACUCGAGGCCUCGGCUAAGAGUAUGUCUGCCUCAGCGUCGAUGUAACCAUCACAUAAUACUCUUAUGUGGAUCUGACCGUCUCGGGGCCUUUUAAUAAGUCCCGGGUCGGUUUAAGUUUACAGAGGCAUUGAUGUCGUAUCAUCACGGGACCUAUUGAGCGCUUUGAUUGUUCUUAAUUGACCUUUCCUUGCACCCUUUAGGGCCACUUCUAGGUAGGCAUUUAGUUUAAGCUUCAUUGCUUAUACGAUGCAUACACAGUUGAUGGUUUACCCUUGAUGUUGAUACGGUUCAUACAUCAGUCGCCCUCAAACUACUGGAACAUUUGAUAUAACGUUGAUUUUUGAAGCAUUGAUUGAUACUUGCUCAUGUGGUUGCUUAAUUGCUUCCGCGUUGACUUGUUUGAUUUCUUUGACAAUUCUUGAGAUGUUAUAUCAAACCCUUUUACAUCAUUCGACCUGAGCUCAGGCA
rnacentral:misc_RNA from 1 species